GCGUCUGGCUCGCCUCCCUCGGCUGGUGGCGGAGGCUGCUGCUCGUGCGGCUGCGGCGAGACGCGCGGCCCGCUGCGCCCUCCCCUUGGGAGCAUAGUGCGGGGAGCAUCGAAAGCACCGGACUGUCCUUCCUGCAGGACAGUUCUCCCUGGAGGAUGGUCCUCCCGGAAGGACUGCACCCUGAAGGACAGCACCAGGCUGGACGGCCCCUGGACGACAGCAUCCUGAGGGAUAGUGCCCUGACAUCUGUCCCUCAGGACCAUCCUCCCCAGGGACUGUCCUCCUGGGGACAGGACUUGCACCCUGAUGAACGGAGCUCUGAGAGAUGACCCACUGAGUGUCCUCCCUGAGGCACAGUGCUCUGAUAGCCCUCCCUAAAGGAUGCACCCUGAGGGACUACAGUCCUCCCAGGUUCUCAGCCCCCAAACCAGCUGCUCCUCCUGAGAGGCUUACAAAGGGAAGAACAGAACCAAGCUCCUCCUUUCUUCUUAAUUCUUGCUUCAGCCUGGUUUCAGACUCACCAAGUAGCCCAUGCUGGCCUUGAACUUGUCAUCCUCCUGCCUCAGUUUGUCUCGGGCUGGCCCCCAAACCUUACGCUCUUUUAUUUCCUCUCCAACCAGGCAGGAUCUACGAUGUUGCAAUGUAGGGUAUUUUCAGAAAUGAGAGAAAAUGAAAAGGGAAUGAGGAUGAUUAAAGGGGAAGGUCCUGGUGUGGUGGCACACCGUGCCUGUGAAUCCUGGGGUCUCAGUGUGGCACUGAAACUUCUACCUGAUGCCCCAAUGCAUCCCCAGUGGGAACCAACCCACAGUCCUCAGCACAUCAGGCACAGGACCUUUCCAGAGUUUUACGGCAUGAAUUAGUGGCUAGAAAUACAGGUGGAAAGCCAGACAUGGUAGUGCGUCCCCGGAGUCCCUGGCACUUGGGAGGUGGAAGCAGGAGUGUCAAGAGUUCAAAAUCAGGGCUAGCAAGAUGGUUUAU